GUCAUGAAUCUCGUUCAUCUGAUUGUUUCUGCUUUUACAUAUCCAUCUCAGAAGCAUUUUUGGAGGGUUUUUUGCAUAUGUGGGCCUGGAAAACAACUCCUUACCAGGGCUGUCCGUGCAAAUUGGUGGUGAUUAAGCUCAGUGAGUGGCCAAUGCCCAUCAGCUGUGAUGAAAGGCAGCUCAGUAUAUUUCCUUCAUCUGCAGUUAGGGGUUGAACCAUGAAGAAGUGGCUUUGAGGUUAGGUGAGCAAUUUCAGGCUUGGGGCUGGCUGUGGGAAGCUGCUGAAGGAGAAGCAGGAAGAGUGAGAGUUAUUAAGCAUGAUCUUGGGAUUUUUACUUCAAAGAGGAGAAAACCCUGCUAGAAGCUCCAUGAGCGUCUUUUGCUCUGUGAAUGCCCUUGGGAGCUUGCGUUAUGCACCAAGGCUUUGUCACUGUGACUUACAAGGCAAUCUCAAUACAGUAAUGCUGCAUGACGGAACUGCACGCACACGGGCCUCCCCUGUGUCUCAGCGUGGUGUGGGGCUAAUGCUGCAUUUCCUAUCCGUGUCUCUUCCAGAACUGCCAGAUGUGAUCCCUGCUCACGGCGUCAGGCUUCUAAGAAUCAUUUUUGAGCUCUUGGUUCCUGCUGUCACUCUGCUCUCCUGCCAGAAAUUAGCUUUUGGAGCAAUCUUGACCGAGGAGACCUUAAGUUUUGAUCCUCUCUGUAAAUGAAAGCAAAACAUAUCAGAAGGAUGGGGCAUUACUCUUCCUUUUUGGUUUUUGUGCUUUUUUAUUUUUUCCUUUGCUUUAUUCUGUUGUUUUUCUGUUCUUUGAUUUUGUUUUGUAAACCAGGAAAUUUAGAUAAAAUUGCACUUAAAUAUGGCUGGUCUCAUCCACAUGCCUUGCUAUGAGUGUUCUAUCCUACCUGCCUAAUAGGAGCCAAGAUCGGCACCUUAACACUAAUUCAUAGGAUCAUUUGAGUUGGAAGGAUCUCUUUAAGGGCUGUCAGGUGCCAGCCCUGCAUUGAGCAGGGACACCCACAGCUCCAUCAGUGCUCACAGCCCAUCCCCUGACCUUGGCUGUCUGCAGGGAUGGGGCACCAUCCUCCUAAU
rnacentral:lncRNA from 1 species